CCUACGGGAGGCAGCAGUAGGGAAUAUUGCUCAAUGGGGGAAACCCUGAAGCAGCAACGCCGCGUGGAGGAUGAAGGUUUUCGGAUUGUAAACUCCUUUUGUUAGAGAAGAUAAUGACGGUAUCUAACGAAUAAGCACCGGCUUACUCCGUGCCAGCAGCCGCGGUAAUACGGAGGGUGCCAGCGUUACUCGGAAUCAUUGGGCGUAAAGAGCGAGUAGGCGGGAUAGCAAGUCAGAUGUGAAAUCCUAUGGCUUAACCAUAGAACUGCAUUUGAAACUGUUAUUCUAGAGUAUGGGAGAGGUAGGUGGAAUUCUUGGUGUAGGGGUAAAAUCCGUAGAGAUCAAGAGGAAUACUCAUUGCGAAGGCGACCUGCUAGAACAUAACUGACGCUGAUGCGCGAAAGCGUGGGGAGCGAACAGGAUUAGAUACCCCUGUAGUC
rnacentral:rRNA from 1 species